ACCCCAAACCGACACAGGUGGUCAGGUAGAGAAUACCAAGGCGCUUGAGAGAACUCGGGUGAAGGAACUAGGCAAAAUGGUGCCGUAACUUCGGGAGAAGGCACGCUGAUAUGUAGGUGAGGUCCCUCGCGGAUGGAGCUGAAAUCAGUCGAAGAUACCAGCUGGCUGCAACUGUUUAUUAAAAACACAGCACUGUGCAAACACGAAAGUGGACGUAUACGGUGUGACGCCUGCCCGGUGCCGGAAGGUUAAUUG
rnacentral:rRNA from 2 species